AGAUCAUUUUGAGGGCAAUUUUGAAGUAAUCCCUUGUAACGCUCUUAUGCUUCAUAAAGUGAUUCACCCGGUUGUUGCUCAAAGUUAGGUAUUGCCUUCGUGAGUUU